GAGUAUAAAUCUGCACAACCAGUACACAGGAAAUCUCGGAAGUCGCACACGUGGAAAUACUUUACAAGUAUUUGGUAUAGGAUCAAAGCAGAGAUUAAUGGGACUAAAUACGAGGAUUCAAGUAAGGGGAGUCACGAUUUCUUGAUCAGAAUAUACGGACCACCUUGUACAGGAGUCAGAAGGGAAUAGUAAUUUGCGGAAAAUAGAACGGCUGGCGAACCCAGUGAUGGCGAGUACAGGAAAUACCGCUACAUGCUCUUACCGAGUUCUACGAGUUCUAAUUUAGUUACUCGUUGGUUCUACGAGUUCUAAUUGAGUUCUACCCGUCUUGCUUGAUUAUCCAAGAUGAUCUUCACGAUGUGAUUUUGGGUAUUACGUUACCGUCGUCAUUGUAUAAUUUUUGUACACAACUUUAUUGGUGAAAGAUACAAAUGUAAACGGAGUGCCUUAUUUUCCUACGUACUUUUCUUCAUCAGGUAAGGAAGCUUUCUAAUCCCCUUAGGAAAAAAAGGAGUUGAGUGCUCUAGCAACCAAUUGUACAAGUACAGUUGAACUGCUAAAGCGCGCUGUAUCGUUUUUAAAUCUUUCCCCACUUAAUGCCUCAUUCAACGUACCAUCUAUAUGGUAGUCACAUGAAAUCAAGUCUGAACUACAAGGUUGUUAGUCGAGAGGUAUUUAGUAUAUUUUAGUGAGUUUAUCGUGAGUUAAGCUGCUAUAUGCGAUCGUAUACACCGCUAACGGACCCUACAAUACUAUACGAUUGAGCGUAAUUAAGUUUAAGGUAAAUUACGAUCCGUUUGCAUAGGAAACACGACAUAUUGAGGAUUUCGGAUUGCAUCGUUGCCAUCACCUUUCGUGUACGUUGCGUGGCAGUUUGUACCGCCGGAUACUUGUGCAGGUUCCAAGCAUGAAAGCUCGUGCUAUGCGAUCAUUUGCCUCGCAGAAUGCGCAACCGAACCAACUUGUUCAUUUUCUCCAGAUCGACGUGAAACACUCGCAAUUGAAUUGUGAUUAAUUCGAGUUUCAACUGCAGAAUGACGGGACGCGAUCGAAUCAAAAUCAACUCAUGACGAGCAUUAAUCACUAUUCGAUUAUAAUCCUCGAAGAAGGUGAACAGUAUACCGGGAAGAUAUUGAAAACCGUAAUCCCUAUGUAUGGAUUGGAGAGACGUACAAGUAAUGGAAGAGUAUUUUUAGAAAGGUAUAAGGAUCGAAAGGUGUAUCAGUCAAUAGAGAGGAAUAAUAGAAGGGAUAAAUGAAGAGGACGUAAAAUUAGUCGCGAUGAUGAAUACAGACUGGAAUGAAAGAGUUAAAAAGGAAAGGGAAUUGAAAAGAAGAACUGCGAUGAUAGAGCGGAUACCUUAGUUUGGAAAGUGAAGAAAGCGAUGAAUGAUUAGAACGGAGGUGCACGAGAAGGAGAAGAGACAGAGUUAGGGUUCGCCGUGGAGGAGAUUAUGCCGAAUCAGAUAAAACUAGAAUAAAUAAACUAUCCUCCAUUGCGAACUACGUUCUCUUGAUGUUCAUUAAUAUUUUUAACAAACUUGUAUUAAAUUUUUGUGCUCAUUCUCAUACGUUUUCCUAUAUUUAUAAUUGCCAUAAACGCAUAAACUUCCGCUGUCUAGUCAUUAGUUUGCUAUUUACUUCAGUAUACUUUUUAAAUUUUCUAUUGACAGCAUCCAAUUACAAAAGAAUUGCCCUGUACGGAAUGUUACAAGAAAUCAUAAUAAGGUGAUGCUUUCGAAUGCGAAGAUUUAAGACCACCAGAGGCACAGACAUUAUGGACAUGUCACUGGAAGAUAUUUCCAAUAUCGAAUUUGUACAAGAAGAAGGAGUCUGUAUUCCACAAGAAAAAGGUAUUACUGACUCGGAUUAUAAAAAGACGAGCAGUAGAAUAUUGAGAAAAUGGGACGAGUAAACGCAAAUCCUUUAAUGCGAUAGCCUACGAGUGGUAGCAGACACGGCCUGUACCAUGGGAUCUGCUGUUUUUUCUCCUGGCGCAGCUUAUAUUCGACUGGAGUGUAGUUCUAUAGUGAAACGAAUUCGUUGAAACUGAAUACAUUUUCCAGCUCACGAAUAUUAACGCUAACUUUAUGUUCUAGGAUAUCAAUGCAAUUAUGAAUACUGUAUUUAUGUCCUCGAAACAGUGUCUCUGAGAGUAAAACAACGCUCUGUUUCCCAACUAUUCUCUAUGGAUGGGCCUUAUUGUCCCGAACUUAAAUCCAUCGGGUCUUUAUUUCUGGUGUCAUUUGAAAUGCAUUGUCUACAGCAAGUCCAUUAACAAUAUUGAGAUACUACGCCAGAGAAUUAAACAAGGUUUCCAGGAAAUCCGAGUAACACCUGGAUCCGUCGGGGGGUUAAGAAGAUUAAGAAGGCGGCAUCUAAAGAUUUACAUUCAGAUGCAAGGUGGUCGUUUUGAGAACCUCUUGUGAAGGUCAGAUUUUGCUAAUUCACCAGUAAAUCAUUUGAGCAACUUUUUCGUACUUCGAUCUUUAUUGAAUGCGUGCACUGUGCUGUGAAUGAAAGUUCGUAUCGUAACGCUUUGUAUUAUAUCGUAACAGCCCUCUAUUCGUGAAUAGUUCACUGCAGGCAUUUAAAAAAAGAAAAUCCAUGUUGCAUAGGAAAUCCGUGGAAAAAUAACUCGGACCAGAUUUUCGUUAAAUAGUAUGUCUGGUCGAGCAUGAAGAGGAUACGCGGGAAAAGGUAACCCUUUUAUCAGAGAAGUGCGCGUAUCUCGGUGAGUAGCGUGGUAAACGGUAAAAACGACAACUUGGAACUCGUCACCUCGGAAACCAGCUUUCAGCGUCUUAUGCAUCAGAGCCUCACAGGUUGGAGCAUACUUCACCGAGCGUGUUAUGCAGUCAAUGAUACAGUUAAGAGUUUCGCUGUAAACCGCGGUGAAACCUCAAAGAACAUUGUUUUUCCCCAAACAUGGUGGUGUUUUAACAUGGUGCGUUAUAUUCUGCUACUAAUACAUGCACAAGUUAUAGAAUAAAGAAUAAAUAUAAGAGAGGAAUAUGAUUUUUCAUAUAAACUACGAAACGAUUCUCGAGAAAACUAGUAUUCUACAAUUUACGUAAAUGUUGUAAUUUGUAUAAUUUAAUUAGACAUAUCGGAUCCUCAAUAGCGUGAAUUACACGAGGAACAUAUGUUUAACACAAAACAAAUUCAGAAUCUCGGAGAUUAAAGCAGCUAGCACCGUAUCACUACGUAUAUUUACGCCUACACUCAAAUGCAAGUAGAAAUAACAAGUUAUAGUCAGACACGCCAGUCAAGCUAUGCCGAAUCCCACGCGUAAUGGACGAAUUUUCAAAUUCAAUUUUUAUCAAAUUAUAAAUUUCGAAUACAUUCAGGAAUCUUACCUUACUUACGAGUGGUAAAGCUUA